UGACGUCACAUCAUCGCGCCGGCGCCUGGAGGACCCGUCCCUGCGGCCUGCAUACUGUAAGUAAGGGUAUGCUCAGGGUCCAGGGGAUUAUGGAAACAGGAUAUGCGCCACUGUUAGGAGGAGGGGGGUCAGAGAAAAGGGAAUAUUUAAUGAGGGUCUGCAGCAGGGACGUGCACACAUAGGAGUGAAAGGGGGCUGGAGCCCCUGCCCUUUUCCUCACCUGCCCCUCUAGUGCCCUCACAAAAGGAGGUGCAGACUCAGGCUGACAAGUGAAGUAAAAAGGAUCCAUUGCUGGAGAUUUGUAUGUGGUUUAAUGGAGGGUGCUGUGCCCUCCCUGCAGCAAGGGGGCGCCACUCACCCUGUCAUUAUCUGCCAUUUCUUUGCUUCUCUCCACACGGAGGAGACAGGAGCAGAGGAGGCAGAGGGAGGCAAAUGGAGGCCCCGCCCACAACAUGUCCGGCCACAAACCAGUCUAAGCAGCCCUUACUAGGAUCAGAAUGCAUUGGCAUAGUGAGGAGACGUCUGGGCAUCAAGUUCUGCAGAGAGAAGAUUUAGCUGGAACAAAUCCUGGCGCCAAUCAGAGAGCAGCACUACUGAAAUAGAACUCCCAGGAGGUAACAGCGUGUCACACAUGUGAUGUCAUAACCAUUGUCCACCAAAGAGCAGCACUGAGCAGAAAUAACACUGCUCCUGUUCAUUCUCCAUCAGUGAGGGGCCGGUGCUGGACACUGUGUAGGGACGCGGGAAUGCAAAGUCAUACACAUGACUGUGACUGAUGCACUAUCUCCAGGACAUGGAGUAGCAUUUCCGGACCUACAGCAAGACGUUGGAUGAAGGCAUAGCCCCAGAAAUAACACUGGUCCUGUUCAUCAGUGAGGGGCCGGUGCUGGACACUGUGUAGGGACACGGGAAUGCAAAGUCAUGCACAUGACUGUGACUGAUGCACUAUUUCCAGGACAUGGAGUAGCAUUUCGGGACCUACAGCAAGACGUUGGAUGAAGGCACAGGCCUAGGAAUCAUGCACAUACACAGAAACAUUUGCCCAAAUUCUAGAGGUAACCUCCUUUAGUAUGCCCAGAGGAAGGGCCAUACAGUAGCCAUGGAUUCCCUACAGGUUUCCUCCCCUCUGGAGGUUUUUCCUGUCCUGAGUAUUAGUUACUGUACGCUCUUUGUGAGUGAUGGGAGGUUACAAAAAAUCCCCUACACAAACAUUUUAAUAAAUAAUAAAUAAAGUUCCCCUUUUUUUA